rnacentral:rRNA from 1 species
CCUACGGGUGGCAGCAGUGGGGAAUAUUGGUCAAUGGACGCAAGCCUGACCCAGCAACGCCGCGUGAAGGAAGAAGGCUUUCGGGUUGUAAACUUCUUUUUUCAGGGACGAAGCAAGUGACGGUACCUGACGAAUAAGCCACGGCUAACUACGGGCCUGCAGCCGCGGUAAUACGUAGGUGGCAAGCAUUAUCCGGAUUUAUUGGGUGUAAAGGGCGUGUAGGCGGGAAUGCAAAUCAGAUGUGAAAACUAUGGGCUCAACCCAUAGCCUGCAUUUGAAACUGUAUUUCUUGAGUGCUGGAGAGGCAAUCGGAAUGCCGUGUGUAGCGGUGAAAUGCGUAGAUAUACGGAGGAACACCAGUGGCGAAGGCGGAUUGCUGGAGAGUAACUGACGCUGAGGCGCGAAAGCGUGGGGAGCAAACAGGAUUAGAUACCCGGGUAGUC